rnacentral:rRNA from 1 species
GGUCAAGCGAAUAAGCGCACACGGUGGAUGCCUUGGCGGUCAGAGGCGAUGAAGGACGUGGCAGCCUGCGAAAAGUAUCGGGGAGCUGGCAACAAGCUUUGAUCCGGUAAUGUCCGAAUGGGGAAACCCACCCGCUUGCGGGUAUCCUGCAGUGAAUACAUAGCUGCUGGAAGCGAACCUGGUGAACUGAAAUAUCUAAGUAACCAGAGGAAAAGAAAUCAACCGAGAUUCCGUAAGUAGCGACGAGCGAACGCGGACUAGCCCUUAAGCUGAUUUGGUUCUAGGAAAACGCUCUGGAAAGAGCGGCCAUAGAAGGUGAUAGCCCUGUAUCUGAAAGGGCCAUUUCAGUGAAGACGAGUAGGGCGGGGCACGUGAAACCCUGUCUGAACAUGGGGGGACCAUCCUCCAAGGCUAAAUACUACUGACCGACCGAUAGUGAACCAGUACCGUGAGGGAAAGGCGAAAAGAACCCCGGAGAGGGGAGUGAAAUAGAACCUGAAACCGUGUGCGUACAAGCAGUAGGAGCUCCGCAAGGAGUGACUGCGUACCUUUUGUAUAAUGGGUCAGCGACUUACUGUUCGUGGCAAGCUUAACCGUAUAGGGGAGGCGAAGGGAAACCGAGUCUGAUAAGGGCGCAUAGUCGCGGGCAGUAGACCCGAAACCGGGUGAUCUAGUCAUGCCCAGGGUGAAGGUGCGGUAACACGCACUGGAGGCCCGAACCCACUCCCGUUGCAAAGGUAGGGGAUGAGGUGUGAUUAGGAGUGAAAAGCUAAUCGAACCCGGAGAUAGCUGGUUCUCCUCGAAAGCUAUUUAGGUAGCGCCUCAUAUGUAUCCUCUCGGGGGUAGAGCACUGUUAUGGCUAGGGGGUCAUCGCGACUUACCAAACCAUUGCAAACUCCGAAUACCGAGACGGACUGUAUGGGAGACACACGGCGGGUGCUAACGUCCGUCGUGAAAAGGGAAACAACCCAGACCCACAGCUAAGGUCCCAAAUUUUGUGCUAAGUGGAAAACCAUGUGGAAAGGCACAGACAGCCAGGAGGUUGGCUUAGAAGCAGCCACCCUUUAAAGAAAGCGUAAUAGCUCACUGGUCGAGUCGGUCUGCGGGGAAGAUUUAACGGGGCUAAGCACAGAACCGAAGCUUGGGGUGCAUACUUUGUAUGCGCGGUAGAGGAGCGUUCCGUAAGCCGUUGAAGGUGGAUUGAGAAGUCUGCUGGAGGUAUCGGAAGUGCGAAUGCUGACAUGAGUAACGAUAAUGCGGGUGAAAAACCCGCACGCCGAAAGCCCAAGGUUUCCUUGCGCAACGUUAAUCGGCGCAGGGUGAGUCGGCCCCUAAGGCGAGGACGAAAGUCGUAGUCGAUGGGAAGCAGGUUAAUAUUCCUGCACCUCGCGUAAGUGCGAUGGAGGGACGGAGAAGGUUAGGUGUACCAGGCGUUGGUUGUCCUGGGGAAAGGCGGUAGGUUUGGAUCUUUGGCAAAUCCGGGAUCCUUUAAGACCGAGCACCGAGACGAGCCUUUAUGGCGAAGUCACUGAUACCACGCUUCCAGGAAAAGCUCCUAAGCUUCAGCUUACGCAGACCGUACCGUAAACCGACACAGGUGGGUAGGAUGAGAAUUCUCAGGCGCUUGAGAGAACUCGGGUGAAGGAACUAGGCAACAUGGCACCGUAACUUCGGGAGAAGGUGCACCCUUUUUGGUGGCUCGUGCGAGCUAUAGCUGAAGAGGGUCGCAGUAACCAGGCCGCUGCGACUGUUUAUCAAAAACACAGCACUCUGCAAACACGAAAGUGGACGUAUAGGGUGUGACGCCUGCCCGGUGCUGGAAGGUUAAUUGAUGGGGUCAGCCGCAAGGCGAAGCUCUUGAUCGAAGCCCCAGUAAACGGCGGCCGUAACUAUAACGGUCCUAAGGUAGCGAAAUUCCUUGUCGGGUAAGUUCCGACCUGCACGAAUGGCGUAACGACAGCGGCGCUGUCUCCACCCGAGACUCAGUGAAAUUGAAAUCGCUGUGAAGAUGCAGCGUUCCCGUGGCAAGACGGAAAGACCCCGUGAACCUUUACUAUAGCUUUACACUGAACGUUGAGUUCGUCUGUGUAGGAUAGGUGGGAGGCUAUGAAACUGUGGCGCUAGCUGCAGUGGAGCCAUCCUUGAAAUACCACCCUGUCGUGCUUGACGUUCUAACCUGGGCCCAUUAUCUGGGUCGGGGACCGUGUAUGGUGGGUAGUUUGACUGGGGCGGUCUCCUCCUAAAGAGUAACGGAGGAGCUCGAAGGUACGCUCAGCGCGGUCGGACAUCGCGCACUGUGUGCAAAGGCAUAAGCGUGCUUGACUGCAAGAUCGACGGAUCAAGCAGGUAGGAAACUAGGACUUAGUGAUCCGGUGGUUCUGUAUGGAAGGGCCAUCGCUCAACGGAUAAAAGGUACUCCGGGGAUAACAGGCUGAUACCGCCCAAGAGUUCAUAUCGACGGCGGUGUUUGGCACCUCGAUGUCGGCUCAUCACAUCCUGGGGCUGUAGUCGGUCCCAAGGGUAUGGCUGUUCGCCAUUUAAAGUGGUACGCGAGCUGGGUUCAGAACGUCGUGAGACAGUUCGGUCCCUAUCUGCCAUGGGCGUUGGAGAUUUGAGAGGGGCUGCUCCUAGUACGAGAGGACCGGAGUGGACGAACCUCUGGUGUUCCGGUUGUCACGCCAGUGGCAUUGCCGGGUAGCUAUGUUCGGAAGCGAUAACCGCUGAAAGCAUCUAAGCGGGAAGCGCGCCUCAAGAUGAGAUCUCCCGGGGCACAAGCCCCCUGAAGGAACCAUGUAGACUACGUGGUUGAUAGGUCAGGUGUGUAAGUACAGCAAUGUAUUGAGCUAACUGAUACUAAUGAUCCGUGCGGCUUGACCAU